UACGUAGGGGGCAAGCGUUGUCCGGAUUUAUUGGGCGUAAAGAGCUCGUAGGCGGUUCCGUAAGUCAGGUGUGAAAAAAUCUGGGCUCAACCCAGUGGAGCACCUGAUACUGCGGUGACUCGAGUCCGGUAGGGGAGGUGUGGGAAUUCCUGGUGUAGCGGUGGAAAUGACGCAGAUAUCAGGAGGAACACCGACGGCGAAGGCAGCAC
rnacentral:rRNA from 1 species